UACGUAGGGUGCGAGCGUUAAUCGGAAUUACUGGGCGUAAAGCGUGCGUAGGCGGUUUGUUAAGCAAGAUGUGAAAGCCCUGGGCUCAACCUGGGAACUGCAUUUUGAACUGGCAGGCUAGAAUUUUGUAGAGGGUGGUGGAAUUUCCAGUGUAGCGGUGAAAUGCGUAGAGAUUGGAAGGAACAUCAGUGGCGAAGGCGGCCACCUGGACAAAAAUUGACGCUGAGGCACGAAAGCGUGGGUAGCAAACAGG
rnacentral:rRNA from 1 species